rnacentral:lncRNA from 1 species
ACCCUUCUCAUUAGUGGAAACUGUAAUUUCAGAUUUUUAGGUACAAUAUGUAUGGGACUUACCCAUGGGCUGUCAGAUAUCACAUAGAUGAUCCUUGCAUCUAGCCACUUCACGAGUUCGGUUUUCACCACUUCAAGCAUCUUCGGAUUUAAUCUACACUGUACAUCUCUUAUAGGUUUGGCAUUAUCUUCGAAAAAAAUUAGAUGCAUACAUACCUUUGGACAGAUUCCAUGAAUGUCUACAAGAUCCAUCCAAUUGCCUCUUUGUGCUUUCUCAAUACAUCUAAUAAUUUUUCUUCUUGAUCACCUAUUAACUCAGAAGAAAUAAUUACUGGAAGAGAUUCAUUUGCACCUAAAAAAGUAUACUUCAUGUGUGAUGGCAAUGGUUUUAAUGUUAGAGAAAUAAUUUUUGGGCUUGCAAUCAGCUGCUCCUCCAUUAGCUCAAGGGGAUCCUCCAAUGCCCCACUUAAUCCUUUGCUGAAAAUUAUAUCUGUAUACUCAUCAAUAAAGUCAUAUAUAGCAUAAUUUUU